CGGGGCGUAGCGCAGCCUGGCAGCGCGCCUGCUUUGGGAGCAGGAAGCCGGCGGUUCAAAUCCGCCCGCCCCGACCA
rnacentral:tRNA from 1 species